rnacentral:rRNA from 1 species
GAUCCUGGCUCAGGAUGAACGCUAGCUACAGGCUUAACACAUGCAAGUCGAGGGGCGAGCAUGGUCUUAGCUUGCUAAGGCCGAUGGCGACCGGCGCACGGGUGAGUAACACGUAUCCAACCUGCCGUCUACUCUUGGGCAGCCUUCUGAAAGGAAGAUUAAUACAAGAUGGCAUCAUGAGUCCGCAUGUUCACAUGAUUAAAGGUAUUCCGGUAGGACGAUGGGGA